CAGUCGCCACGGUAAAACGUAGGGUGCAAGCGUUAAUCGGAAUUACUGGGCGUAAAGCGUGCGCAGGCGGUUAUAUAAGACAGAUGUGAAAUCCCCGGGCUCAACCUGGGAACUGCAUUUGUGACUGUAUAGCUAGAGUACGGCAGAGGGGGAUGGAAUUCCGCGUGUAGCAGUGAAAUGCGUAGAUAUGCGGAGGAACACCGAUGGCGAAGGCAAUCCCCUGGGCCUGUACUGACGCUCAUGCACGAAAGCGUGGGGAGCAAACAGGAUUAGAUACCCGCGUAGUCCCUGUCUCUUAUAC
rnacentral:rRNA from 1 species